GGCGUGCUUACACAUGCAAGUCNNAACGAGAACGGCCCUAGCUUGCUAGGGUGUCAGCUAAGUGGCGCACGGGUGAGUAAUGUAUAGUUAAUCUGCCCCUUGGAGAGGGAUAACGUUUGGAAACGGACGCUAAUACCUCAUACUCCUGAUACUGUAGUGGUAUCAGGGAAACGUCUUUUCGCCAAGGGAUGAGACUAUAUGGCAUCAGGUAGUUGGUGGGGUAAUGGCCCACCAAGCCAAUGACGCCUAGCUGGUCUGAGAGGAUGAUCAGCCACACUGGUACUGAGACACGGACCAGACUCCUACGGGAGGCAGCAGUGGGGAAUAUUGCACAAUGGAGGAAACUCUGAUGCAGCAACGCCGCGUGGAGGAUGACGCAUUUCGGUGUGUAAACUCCUUUUAUAUAGGAAGAUAAUGACGGUACUAUAUGAAUAAGCACCGGCUAACUCCGUGCCAGCAGCCGCGGUAAUACGGAGGGUGCAAGCGUUACUCGGAAUCACUGGGCGUAACNCGCGCGCAGGCGGNUUGAUAAGUUGGAUGUGAAAUCCUAUGGCUCCANCAUAGAACUGCAUCCAAAAUGUCAAACUAAANUCUGGGAAAG
rnacentral:rRNA from 1 species